CUUUUCAGCACAUGUAUUUUUACAUGCACAUAUAGGAUCCUACCUGGUUUCCCUGCUACAUUCUUGUGAGGUGGCUGACUUGGCAGAUACAAACUGUGAGAAGAGAUCACUCCUCCGAAAUGCUGUUGGAACUGAAAAUUCAACCUAUGGGUACAAGGUCCUAUGCCAUUGUAUAUGGAUUUAUCUGAGACAUCUGUGGCAGAAUGUAAUUCAAAGGGAAGAUGCUCCUGCCAAGCUGUUGCAACUGUUCUGGUGGUGAGUG